CGUCAAUUUGACAUCAACAAGUAGUCAAGAUUUUGACCAACAUGUAUGACGUGCAUAAAUAUGCAUAAUUUCAUUAUAUUUUGUAAUGAUUUCCUUGUGGUUGUAAAGAGGCCCAACAAAGGUAUCAAUCUAACAUGGUUUUUUCUGGUCCCUACAUCUCAGGUCUAUAUUAUUGACAUUAAAUCAACGUUGAUUUGAUGUCAGGAAAUAAGACGUCAAAUUGAUGUGAAAUUUAUGUCAAAACAACGUCUGUUAAAAUGUCUGAAAAGGUAUAUUAUUAGCCUACUCAUUGUAAAUCGACGCGAGUUUUUCAACAUCCUGACCCACACAGCAGAGGGUUCCAAAACGGACCCUCUGCGGCGGACUCCGUGCGGAUACGCACAUCGAACGCGCCCUUUCCAGUCCUAACGGCUCCUUCAGUUUUCAAAUUUCUCGUUGAUGAAGUGGAAGACGAAACAGCGGCGUCUGAAGGCUCACUGUCAUUCACAAGUGGCUCCAGUCUGGUUUGGGGGUUCUGCCAUCCAAGUAAAGUUAUUCACAAGUGGCUCCAGUCUGGUUUGGGGGUCUACGCUUUCUCAUCCUGUCCUGCC